rnacentral:rRNA from 1 species
GGAUGAACGCUGGCGGCGUGCCUAAUACAUGCAAGUCGAGCGAACAGACGAGGAGCUUGCUCCUCUGACGUUAGCGGCGGACGGGUGAGUAACACGUGGAUAACCUACCUAUAAGACUGGGAUAACUUCGGGAAACCGGAGCUAAUACCGGAUAAUAUAUUGAACCGCAUGGUUCAAUAGUGAAAGACGGUUUUGCUGUCACUUAUAGAUGGAUCCGCGCCGCAUUAGCUAGUUGGUAAGGUAACGGCUUACCAAGGCAACGAUGCGUAGCCGACCUGAGAGGGUGAUCGGCCACACUGGAACUGAGACACGGGCCAGACUCCUACGGGAGGCAGCAGUAGGGAAUCUUCCGCAAUGGGCGAAAGCCUGACGGAGCAACGCCGCGUGAGUGAUGAAGGUCUUCGGAUCGUAAAACUCUGUUAUUAGGGAAGAACAAAUGUGUAAGUAACUAUGCACGUCUUGACGGUACCUAAUCAGAAAACCACGGCUAACUACGU